rnacentral:rRNA from 1 species
UACGGGGGGGGCAAGCGUUGUUCGGAAUUACUGGGCGUAAAGGGCUUGUAGGUGGCCAACUAAGUCAGACGUGAAAUCCCACGGCUUAACCGAGGAACUGCGUCUGAUACUGGAUGGCUUGAGUGUGGGAGAGGGAUGCGGAAUUCCAGGUGUAGCGGUGAAAUGCGUAGAUAUCUGGAGGAACACCGGUGGCGAAGGCGGCAUCCUGG